rnacentral:rRNA from 1 species
GAUCCAGCCAUGCCGCGUGAGUGAUGAAGGCCCUAGGGUUGUAAAGCUCUUUUGUGCGGGAAGAUAAUGACGGUACCGCAAGAAUAAGCCCCGGCUAACUUCGUGCCAGCAGCCGCGGUAAUACGAAGGGGGCUAGCGUUGCUCGGAAUCACUGGGCGUAAAGGGUGCGUAGGCGGGUUUCUAAGUCAGAGGUGAAAGCCUGGAGCUCAACUCCAGAACUGCCUUUGAUACUGGAAGUCUUGAGUUCGGGAGAGGUGAGUGGAACUGCGAGUGUAGAGGUGAAAUUCGUAGAUAUUAGGAAGAACACCAGUGGCGAAGGCGCCUUACUGGCUCGGUACUGACGCUGAGGUACGAAAGCGUGGGGAGCAAACA